rnacentral:rRNA from 1 species
ACUCUGAUCCGCCAUGCCGCGUGCAGGAAGACUGCCCUAUGGGUUGUAAACUGCUUUUAUAGAGGAAGAAACCUCCCUACGUGUAGGGAGCUGACGGUACUCUACGAAUAAGGAUCGGCUAACUCCGUGCCAGCAGCCGCGGUAAUACGGAGGAUCCAAGCGUUAUCCGGAAUCAUUGGGUUUAAAGGGUCCGUAGGCGGGCAGUUAAGUCAGUGGUGAAAGUCUUCCGCUCAACGGGAGAAUUGCCAUUGAUACUGAUUGUCUUGAGUCAUUAUGAAGUGGUUAGAAUGAGUAGUGUAGCGGUGAAAUGCAUAGAUAUUACUCAGAAUACCRAUUGCGAAGGCAGAUCACUAAUAAUGUACUGACGCUGAUGGACGAAAGCGUAGGUAGCGAACAGGAUUAGAUACCCUGGUAGUCUACGCCGUAAACGAUGGUUACUAGCUGUUUGGACGAUUGAGUCUGAGUGGCUAAGCGAAAGUGAUAAGUAACCCACCUGGGGAGUACGUUCGCAAGAAUGAAACUCAA